CGACUCUGUCUCUCUCUCUCUGCAUUCGUGCUUUCUCCGCGUUCGUCAAUGGCGUCGAUGCAGAUGGAGGAGAACCCUAGCCCUCUCUUGAGAUCAAGGGCCGCAUUUCUGGGCUUUCGGAUUGCGAUCCUCCUCUCUCGCGCGCCUCGUCUUCUCUCGUACCCGAAGCAUUUCGACGACGAGGCCGCGCAGCAUUACCCCUUUCUGAUCCCCUGAUUCGUGGAUGGAUUUGCUUCGUUUCCGUAAUUGGCAAGGUAUUCGAUAACACGGGUGAAAGAAGUGAUCUAACUGAAGCGACUGAAACGUGCUUCCCAGUUUAUUGUGAGCUGGAAACGAGAAACUGCAUAGUUCUGCAAAGCCAUUUGCCCAUUUCAGAUAUAAUUGUCCCAGGAAUUUUGACUGUGAAGUGGUCUCUGAUCUGAAGGAUGUGUGGUGUGAUCUCGAGCCACUGCUAGUUGCCAAUCUUGUGAGGCAAAUGCAGUAAUCGACCAGUCAUAACCACUAGCUUGGGGAGCAGGAGUGCUGGAUUGACUGUAACUGCAGUUAAGAUUGGAGGUAAGAUUCGAUGAGUUAAUGAGAGAACCUUCAGAUUGAUUACUGCUUACAAAUGUGGAUGGUUCUAUCCUUCUAGUCCUCACUCCUCACCUUAUUAAUUUUUCUUGACCGAUAGACUUCGAUCUUACUUGUCAAUAGAAUAAACCUUAUGUCAAGUUUAAAGCUUGCAGAUAAUAAUGAAAAUUGAUGAACUCUAUGUGCUUUGCCAGAUGAGGAAUAAAUUGCACAGUGAAACCAAUAAAGUUGAUGUUAUAUCCAACGUGUUUUCCCAAAUAGGAGUCUCAUGGUUUCCAAAGUUACUACUUAGGACAUGUAAGGAGGCUUUAGAAGCUAAAGUGACUUACUUAAGCUUAGAAGACCCUUGUUUUUGUGAGAUUGAACUCCAGGUGUUAGCCUUAUUUUGAUAGCAGAAUUGUAAGAUUGAAUAUUUAGAAAGAGAAUUACAUUCUAUGAUUUGCAAGCGAUAGUAGCUUAUUCCACCUCCUUUGGUAAUUUUCCACCUAAUUUGUAAUGUUGUAACAAGGCUCAAUUAUAGAGAAUUUAAUUAUAAUGAACGGAGGGAAGGGG